rnacentral:rRNA from 1 species
CAGCCGCCGCGGGAAUACGUAGGGUGCGAGCGUUAAUCGGAAUUACUGGGCGUAAAGCGUGCGCAGGCGGUUAUAUAAGUCAGAUGUGAAAUCCCCGGGCUCAACCUGGGAACUGCAUUUGAGACUGUAUGGCUAGAGUGUGUCAGAGGGGGGUAGAAUUCCACGUGUAGCAGUGAAAUGCGUAGAGAUGUGGAGGAAUACCGAUGGCGAAGGCAGCCCCCUGGGCCAAUACUGACGCUCAUGCACGAAAGCGUGGGGAGCAAACAGGAUUAGAUACCCCCGUAGUCCCUGUCUCUUAUAC